rnacentral:rRNA from 1 species
AACGCGAAGAACCUUACCNGCCCUUGACAUCCUCGGAACUUGUCAGAGAUGACUUGGUGCCUUCGGGAACCGAGAGACAGGUGCUGCAUGGCUGUCGUCAGCUCAGUGUCGUGAGAUGUUGGGUUAAGUCCCGUAACGAGCGCAACCCUUGUCCCUAGUUGCCAGCGCGUCAUGGCGGGAACUCUAGGGAGACUGCCGGUGACAAACCGGAGGAAGGUGGGGAUGACGUCAAGUCAUCAUGGCCCUUAUGGGCAGGGCUACACACGUGCUACAAUGGCCAGUACAGAGGGUUGCCAACCCGCGAGGGGGAGCUAAUCCCAGAAAGCUGGUCGUAGUCCGGAUCGCAGUCCAACUCGACUGCGUGAAGUCGGAAUCGCUAGUAAUCGCGAAUCAAGAAUGUCGCGGUGAUAG